rnacentral:rRNA from 1 species
ACGCUCGACACCUACGGGAGGCAGCAGUGGGGAAUAUUGCACAAUGGGGGAAACCCUGAUGCAGCGACGCCGCGUGAGCGAAGAAGUAUUUCGGUAUGUAAAGCUCUAUCAGCAGGGAAGAAACUGACGGUACCUGACUAAGAAGCACCGGCUAAAUACGUGCCCGCAGCCGCGGUAAUCUGAGCGGCUGGCAAGGC